CAAAUAACCCACCUGAAGCCUCCUCUGCCCUGUUACCCUUUCUCCGUCUCUCUCUUUUCCACUACAAUAGCACCCUACUGAGGACACGCAGACAAAGUCAAAGCUCGUAGCGCCCGUCAGCGCUGAAGCACACAUCUGACAUCUCCGACGCAAUCAUGCGUUUGAUCGCCAGUAACAUCACAGACACCAUGGAGGACCCCACGGUCGGUAAGAAAAGACUUUUAGCAAUUUAUUCAGCUCACAUAACCUCGUCCCAACUGAACACAGCUGAGUUUUAACUAAUUUAGCAGAACUGUAAACGCC
rnacentral:lncRNA from 1 species